UGGGGGAUAUUGCACAAUGGAGGAAACUCUGAUGCAGCGACGCCGCGUGAGGGAAGAAGGUCUUCGGAUUGUAAACCUCUGUCUUUGGGGACGAAGAAGGUGACGGUACCCAAAGCGGAAGCCACGGCUAACUACGUGCCAGCAGCCGCGGUAAUACGUAGGUGGCGAGCGUUGUCCGGAAUUACUGGGUGUAAAGGGUGCGUAGGCGGACUGGCAAGGUGGAUGUGAAAUCUCCGCGCUUAACGUGGAGGUUGCAUUCAAAACUGUUGGACGUAGGUGAGGCAGAGGCUGGCGGAAUUCCCGGUGUAGCGGUGAAAUGCGUCGAGCCUCGUAUGCAGACCAGUGGCGAAGGCGGCCUGCUGG
rnacentral:rRNA from 1 species